UACAGAGGUCCCAAGCGUUGUUCGGAUUCACUGGGCGUAAAGGGUGCGUAGGCGGUCGGGUAAGUCUGAUGUGAAAUCUCACAGCUCAACUGUGAAACUGCAUUGGAUACUAUUCGGCUUGAGGUCUGGAGGGGGGACUGGAAUUCUCGGUGUAGCAGUGAAAUGCGUAGAUAUCGAGAGGAACACCAGUGGCGAAGGCGGCUCACUGGACCACAACUGACGCUGAUGCACGAAAGCUAGGGGAGCAAACAGG
rnacentral:rRNA from 1 species